rnacentral:lncRNA from 1 species
GCGUGGACAUCUCAGGGAGGCGCUAAUGAGCCAACAGAGUCUGCAUGAGUGAGUGGUGGAUGACGAUGAUGACGUGUGGGCCUGUCUGCCCCUCCUCCCUUCCUUCUCGUGCUGGGAGCCCAGCUUGGGGCUGCACGGCAAGGAGCCCUGGGGGACGAGGAGCCCUGGGGGAGGGAGGGGCAGAGAAGCCGUGUCUUCUGGCCGCAGCCUCCCCAGCCUUCGCUUCCCUGUCUGUGCGGCCUGAUGGUUCAGGUAACCGAAGUCUGGUGCUCAAGCGGCAUCAGGACACGAUGGGGCUGCAUCCCGCCCGGCCCGCCUUCCCUCUGGGUCCGGGGAACGGCCGAGUUGGGAGGGCGAGAGCUUGGGCCUGGGCUCGCCACAGGUGUUGGCGAGGAGCCCUCACGGCUCCUGAGAGGCUGAGCAGAGCUCCAGACCGGAGCAUCCUCAAGCAAUUAUGGGCCCAGGGCUGGCGAGCAGCUGUCCCAGCCCCACCGGAGGCCAGGAGGGCAGCAGCUGCACUCGGCCCAGGCUCGGGCUGGAGGCGGGUCUGCGCAGCCUAUACCAUCUGGCGGAAUUCAGGGACGGGCGCUCCAUCUCCACGUGAGGGGUUCAGGUUUGCAGCCAGCCCUGGCCGGCCCCUUGGCCUAUCUUCUCACGGGGGCUCUGCCUUGCCAGCCACGCUCUUAGCUUCAUUUUAUACCAGAGGGCAUCAGAGGAUGGAGACAUUAAGUAACCUGCCUGGGGUCACCCAGCUGAGCAGGAACGGGGCCAGGAUUAGAACCCACACCUGUUUGUUCUCGAACCUGUGUCCCUUCAUCCAGCCAGGCGCUUCUCCCCUCCUUCUUAGAGAAAUCCAGUCACCCUCGCCCCUGGUGUUUCUGCCCGGACCCAGGGAGGCGCUGCCUGAGUCCGCCCAGCGGCAGAGACGCCACCCGCCUGAGGUGCGUGGUCCCUCCGCCCAGGGAGGAGGGUGCCCGAGCUCCCUGGGUGCUCCCGGGCCUCUGGGGGCCACAGGAGAGGGGGCCCAGUGGCUCAGACGGUCAAAGCCCUUCCUGUU